UUCUGAAGGCUAAGAUUCUUGCUUACAAAAUCAAACACUAUUUUACUUUUAUGAUCUCAUUUUGUUUUCUGCAUUAUUUUUCACAUAUCCUUCAAUUUUCCUUAACCUGGUUUUGUCACUGUAGUGUUGUCAAGGAGAUAAAUAGCUCAUGUAAUUACUUUCUUUGGUUAAAAGUUAAUGAUUCCUCAUGAAUGCAAUAAACUUACUACGGCAUCAUUAUGAUUACUACUGCAGAGUAUCAAGAAGUUGGUAAGAGAUCAUCAUGAAUGCAAGAUCUAUCUGUUGCAAAACAUUGCGAAAGAGAUCUAGUGUUGGUGACUGGGGCAAGCUGCCAAGCAGAUUGGUAUAUGCUAAUUGAAUACCUUUUUGAAAAAUUUUCAAGCUAGAAAGCUGCUAGUCUCAAGUAUUGGAGAUGUAGAGGUAAGAAGAAUUGCUUCAUUAUUUUGUUCCGUCUCUAUUAGAUUGAUAUUGAUUUGCAAGGCUAAUUAAGUAUAACUUUGAAAACUUAUCUUAUUAAUUAGAAUUGACUAUAAAUAACCUCCAUCUUAUGCAUCCUGCACGGCUUCAAAGCAAA